CCUACACACCUUGUUACGGGUGCCCCUUACAGGGUGAAACGGGAAACCGGUGAAUCACGUGCUUAACUAAAAAGCCGUGGCCAGUCCGGUGCUGCCCCCGCAACGGUAAGCGAGCGAAGUGUCAGAUCCACUGUGCCAAGGCAUGGGAAGGCGACACUUGCUGGCACGGCAUGACACAGCCCUGCCCCUCGCAAGCCCGGAGACCGGCCCGCAACACUUACAUAAC
rnacentral:ncRNA from 2 species